AUGGGGUUUUUGAACCCUGACCCUCCUGACACGCCAGCCCUGGCCCUGGCCUUCUCUCCUCUCCUCUCCUCUCCACUGGGAGAUGAGAAGGUGCCAGCAUCCACCUCACAGGCCAUCGUGAGAACCCGGGACUCAGGGUUUGUGUUCCUCUUGCAGGUGGCGCCGCAGAUGUGGGGGCCUGACGAUAUAUACACACUGCAGGCUGCCAGUGUCGGGGUAAUCCAGUUUUCGUCAAAAGGUGGGAUUUGCUUUGCUCCCCUGCGGACCAGGUGCGGUGCUGCUGUUGCAGCAGGACCGUCUAUCCCAGGAAUGCCAAACCCCACUGGCUUUCACCCGACGCUGUCGUAGGUGACGCCGUAUGGAAAUGAGGACCCAUGUGCCGCAUACCUGAGCCCCCAGUACCCGUCUCCCUCGAGGGCCGUGGCCGAGCCCUCCUGAUUUCGCUGGGUUGCCAGCCUGGGGAUCUGUAAGCCCAGCGACGCCUGCGGUCUCGGCCCCCCUCCCCGUGGGGACAGGAGGUGGCUUCCGGAGGCUGGUGAUGAAUGCCUGAAUGAAGCCGACUUGUGACUGCAGUUCUGUCUAAGGGCCUCCCCGGGUGUUAGAUGUCAGUAAAUGACACCUGUGUGUGUGGAUCUCAUGUGAUGAGAGAAAGAGUGGGGGAAACCAAAGCUUGUGGAGUCUGCAGGUUCUGGACUUGGGGAUGUGUGCACCUGUGUACUUGGUGAGGGGUGUGAGGUCUGGAAUGAGUGUGCACGUGUGUCACGUUUGUGCGUGUGUGGUGAGUGUAUUUAGCAGGUGUGUGUGGAGUGAGCAUGUUCAUGCGUGUGUCGUGUAUAUUGGAGGGUGUGUGGAGUGUGUACACGCAUCACAUUUGGUGAGUGUAUUUGAGGGUGUGUAUGGAGUGCAUAGAUGCGUUUGCGUGUAUAGUAUCGGGUGAAGGGGUGGCAUGUGUGGAGUAAGCAUGCACACGUGUGUGCUGUGUGUGGGGUUUCUGCCUGGUCCUCCCCUGAGCCUGCUCCUGGGCCCUGCUGUCCUGGCAGCUUUACAGUUUGGUGUGUCUUUGAUUCCGGAAGAUUCUGGAACCCGACUCUGAAGCUGUGAUCGCAAACUUGCAGCCCUUGGAGGACGCUGGCCCGUGGAGCCGGCACGAGGAUCUCUGGGCUGGGCUGGGCUGGGCUCCUCUGUCCACAGCAGAGCGUGUCCGAUGAUUGAGCUGUGCGGGUCUGUGGCUCCCCAGCCUCGAGUCAGCCCUCGGUUCUGGUCCCGCCUCUGUUUUUCUUGCUGAGGGGCUCCGGGAAGUGGUGCCUGGGAUGACGUUUUCACCCUGGGGUUGCUUCGCCUGCUGCCCAGGUGCUGGCUGCCUGAGCCCUGCUGCCGUCCUGGGUGGACGGGGCUGGCGCGGGGACAUCCCUGAGCACCUGCGGGAAGGCAGGUUUAGGAAGUGCCAGAGGUGAGUGGCUUCCUCCCAGACUUGAUUUUCUGGAAAGUUCUGGGCCUCAUAUUUUUCCCUAAGGGAAGUUAGGAACUGAGUUUCUCUUCAGGGGAACGUCUUUGCAGCGUCUGUUGUUAGAAUGUUCUCCAGGUGUGGAAUACCCGGGGCCGUGUGUGUUUGGGAACAUCCGUGUCCUGAGCCAAUUCAGUGGGGAAUGGAGAGAGGCCUCCCUCCUGUCAGCUUGGCCUCUGUUUCCGGCUUGCGAGUUGUGAGGGUUGGCGGCUGCUGGUAUCCCAGGGAGAGGGAAACACUGGGUGGCGUGGGAUGGGAACGUUCGCUCUGACCAGGUCAGUGGGAAAGCGUCUAAGCAAACGUCGCUGUUGUCCGGGCUCCUCGGGGUCGAGCUUGUUUUGUGGUGUUGAGGGAAAAGCUACCCUUGUUCCUGUUCCUCACCAUUUGAAUGGUGUCCAGGGCUUGUUCCGCCGGAGAGGUGAUGCGCGUGAAUGGGGGUCAGGUCGCAGGCUCCGAGGUUAUUUGGAAUCUGUCAACGGACUUCCUAAACACACCGGUGCUUGGUAAAGAGAUGUUCCUGAUUGGCUAAAACAUCUCAACAGGACGUGAUAGCUGGUGGUGGUUUAAAGACUACCACAAUUUUCCUGUUACUUUUUAAAUGCCUGUUGAAUAGGGGAGGAUUCACAUAGUUUUCUUUUCCCGUCUGCGUACUUGAUACUUUGUUUGUUUGUGUUUUUAUGUGGGUGUGCAGUUAACAGGAUUUCGAAGCAGUCUCAGCCCUGGGGAGACUUCAGGGCAGCCUCAGUCAGCGCUGAAGGGAGGCAGGGAUUUGGGGGCUACCUCCUCCACAGGACGCGGACACCAAGGGCCAGAGGUCAGCAAUCUCAGUGAGGUGACACAGACGGGCACACCCAGCACCCUGGCCCCUGUGCCUCUCCUUCACGUUUGUCUCUGCUCCAAGCUGCUCUCCUGGGUCAUCACGGGUGAUCUCUAGGCGCGUGCUUGGUUCUUGCAGAAGUGGUGUCUGGCUGUGGUCAGUGGGGGCUCUCGGGACUUCCAUGUUUUUGGCUCCCGUCAAUAUUGGGCAGUGUGGUGUAUGUUUGUUUUGGAGUGGUAGAUCCGGGUGGAUUUUGGCUUUGCCAACUCAUUUAAUACGUGUUUCUCCUGUUUCUGUAUCGGGUGUUCUCUGGUUAGAAAGGGGGAUGACGGUGGUGGAACGGCUUCUGGCUGUUGAGCCCCUGCUGAGAGCUGUUUGGCGUGCACAGAUCCGUUUCGGCACAAUCUCUAUGAGCAGCCCUGGGCAGUGCAGAAAGCGAGGCCCAGGUGAGGCUGUCGGACACAGGAGCGCCCUGACCUGUGUGCUUUCAGCCUCUGAGCCGCCCCUCUCCUGACUGCUUACCAAGCUGUAUCGAUACUGAAAUCUGAGCAUUGAAAAGUCACCAGGGGAAUGCCAUUUCCAGGGAUCUUACUGUGAACCUUCUGUUAAAGGUUCCAUGUCGAAUAAUGAAUUGCCUUUGAAUGCAGGUACCAAACAGGCUCCCUGGGAUAACUCAUUCCAUAGACACUUUUUAAAAUAAUGUUCCCAACUAGCUAUCCUUUACAUUCUUUCUACUUAAGAGGUGCUCUGCUCUCCUGUGCGCUUUAGUGAUAUGCCGUGUUUGCUUUGCGUGCCUUGGGUUUUCAGAAGAAAACCGUGUUUGCAGGUACACUUGGAGUACAACAUUCUUCUUCCUAUUAGUGUAGAUGCUCCAUGAGAGGAGAUAUGCUCAUGCAUUUCUGUGUGUUUUGUGGGGAAUAAAAGUAGUCGCCGGCUCUAGCAAACCUAGAAGAUGCCCAAAAGGUGAUACACGUGAAAAUACGCGGCCACUGCCAUAAAUCGCCUUGUAUUAUGUGUGGCAAAGUGCUGUGUGUGUGCUGUCUAUGGAGAAAAUGAGUCUUCCCUCUUUUCCCAAGAGGUAACAGUUGAAUAGACUUCAGAAGUUGUCUUAUUUGCAAAUGGUACCCUCCUUCCAUUGUUUUGAGACGUCGUCAUAGGAACUCACACAUGGAAUUGUUUUCUCAGUUAGAACCUCCAGGUUUUGUCAUAGUCCCUUUGUGUCAUUACAGCGUCUGGUUCCACUUUAUUUAAAGCAGGAAGAGGCCAGCCACGUGGCCUCGCUGGUGCUUCCCAAGCACAGGGUGUCAUAAGGGGCGUGAGCACUUGGUUGGGAGACGUGCUGUUCUUCCUGAUAGAAACCCUAUGGUGCCAUUCGCUAGUCCCCUGCGGUGUUUCUUCCACCCUAAAUGCAGCCAGUUUCUGUUGGUUUGUAUUUUCCGAGACAGGGUCUUGCUCUGUCACCCAGGCUGGCAUGCGGUGGCGUGAUCCCUGGCUCAGGCGAUCCUCCCACCUCAGUCACCCGAGCAGCUGGGACCUCGGGCGCGCACCAGCAUGCCUGGCUAAUUUUCUUUUCUCUGUUGCAGGGAUGGGGUCUUGUUGUGUUGCCCAGGUGUGGCUCUGUUUUCUGUUGAGUGUACAGUGGGUUUUUAUGGGGAACCUCUGUAUUUGGGUCGGGGGUGUGGCAUCCUGGUCAGGAAAUGGCCCUCAGGCUUCCUUCCUGCCCAGCAGGGUCACGAGUGGUGUCUCCACCUGGGCUGGUGUGUGUGCUGGCCAGUAGGGCUUAGUCCUGGACUGCAGACUGGUACUGGUCCAUGGUCUGUUAGGAACCGGGGUCAUAGCCGGAGGUGAGUGGCGGGCGAAGUAGGCAUGACCGCCUGAGCUCUGCCUCCUCUUGGAUCAGCGGCAGCAUUUAGAUUCUCCUAGGCGCUGGGACCCUCUCGUAAGCCGCGUGUUCUCCUAGGCGCUGGGACCCUAUUGUAAACGGCAUGUGAGGGAUCUCGGAGGUGCUCCUUAUGAGGAUCCAAUGCCUGACCUGAGGUGGAACAGUUGCAUUUCAAAACCACCCCUCAGAAAAAUGGUCUUCCACGAUACCCAUCCCUGGUGCCAAGAAGGCUGGGGGACAGCUGGCCUAACGCGUGGAUGAUGUCAGUAGAUUUUUGGACCUCGGGCCGCAGUUGGAGAGGAUUAGAUUUUGAAAGGUGGGGGAUUGAAGGCUUCUAAAGGGCAGGUUUCAUCUCCAGUGGGGCCUGGGCAGAACUGGGUAGAACUGACCCAGAACCUGAUGAUU
rnacentral:lncRNA from 1 species